UGGAAAUGAUGUAGGAAUGAUGGUAGGGUUCAGAGCUGACGGCCAAGGAAGAAUUCUUGAAGGCGUCUUUGGUGCAAAAAGGUGAUUUUAUUAAAGCAGUGGGACAGGACCCGUGGGCAGAAACAGCUGUGCUCUAAGUGUGAGGGGUGAAUGUUUAUAUAUUAUGGAGUUGGGGGAGAUAAAGGCAAGAGGAAUUUCCCAAAGGGAUUUUCAUAUGUUAAAGGAGAUUCAUAAGAUAUGGGAGGCCUAGCUAUUACCAAGCUAAGGUUGUUUUCCCUCUAUAAGGCAUUAACAUUACGACAGGAGGGGGUUUCUGGGGAAGUGUUUUACCUGUAUUUGCCUGAAAUAUUUAUCAAUGGGCUGCAGGUAGUAAAGAAUUUUCACCUGCCAUUUCCUUCUUACCUUUGUUCCCACAUCGCUGUGGAGGGGAGGGUGAUAUUAGGGCUCCAGGAAACUGAAUCUAUAGGUUUCUGGAUUAGGCUAUGGAUAAGAUUGCCCCUCUCCUGUAA